AGGAACAUUCCAUAGAAGGGAACAGAUCUCUGCAGAAAUGGGACACAGAUGGUGCCUUAAAUGAGAGCGGAAGUUUAUUUGGGGGCCCUGCUCGUGACGUCGAGCUGCAGAUCCCGCAGCAGAUGACAGACACCAGCAUCUCAGAGAGGAGCCCACGGAAGGAUCUGGAGUUAUCCAUGGAGCCUGGCUAAUCUCUGCACACCAAUCUGUCUCUCUCCACCCAGGGAAUGGGAGCCAAGCAGAUUCAUGCAGCGAGAUGGGACAGGUUUGCCCAACCCACCAACUUAUCCCGCAAAUAAUUCGCUCCCAGGGCGAUCUCCCAUCUUUCCCCAGCUCCAAAUUCACAUCUUCCCAAAAUACUUCUGUGAAAUGCACGAAGGAGCAAUUCAGUGACUACAGAUCCUACAAGUCCAGCUUGGCUCAGCCUGCAGGGUCUGAAAACUCUUCCUGGUCUAUUUUCCCACAUUCGGAUGCUGAAGGAAGUGAGAGAAAGGGUUGUAGAGCCAGAUGAUUUAUCAGCUGAUGAUUAUUGUGUGGCCCAUCACAAGUGUUCCCUUGUACGUAAAGCUCUGCUUUGAAGGGUUAUUAAAGCCUGGAGUGCAGCUUUGCUCCAGGCUUAGCUUUUCUUCAAAAACUCUUGUCUUUGAAGGCAAAUCAAAAUAAUCCAGUGUCUAUUUUGAAACAUCAGUGCCUCUGAUUCUGUGAAAUGGUGUUGUUCUGUUCUUCUCUUAAGAGCUGGGAGCUAUUUAGUUCAGCAGCACCGGCGAUCAACAAAUUCCUGGAAGGCCAGAUGGGGACAGCAGCGUGACAGGUAGCAAAGAACACAGGAGAAGACCCAGUAGAACAUUUUUUACAGCAAACCCAGGAGUUUGGAAUAGGUUCCUGGGGUAGGAUUCAUCUCACUUGAUUUCUCGGAAGGUAAAAAAGCAAAUCUCUAAACCUGACCUAAACACAGAAUGGUUUGGGCCGGUAGGGACCUUCAGGAUUAUUUAAUUCCAACCCUCUGCCGUGGACAGGGGCACCUUCCACUAGUCCAGGUUGCUCAGUCACCAGACAGAGCCCACAGAAAUCAGAUGCUGAGUUCCAAAAUUGAAUCUGCCUUCAAAAUCCGAACCAAAAACUUCAGAAGUUGACUCUGAAGGUCUCUGUGUGACACUUGGGGUGCUGUCAGCAUGUUCUCCUGGCAACCUGGGCAUCCCCUUUCCAGCAGCAAACCAUAAAUGCAUCAAGAUCAGCUUUGUUGGGAGUUACAGCUCCCUCCUUGCAGCCAGGAAUUAAAUUACCCAAUCAGUACCAACAAGAAAAGUUAUUUCCACUUCUGAGUUCAGCUGAAACUCUGCUGAAGUUCAUGCCCAGAGGAGCCAGGUUCUGUGUUCCCAUGGGAUUUUCCAGAAUCCAGUGCAAAGAUGGGCUGGGUCCUAUCAAAAAUUCUUCUCCAAAUCAAAUCAUAACCAACAGCCCAGGUCACUUUGAGGUUUGCACGAAUCUCAUCCAACUCUUCCUGAGCUUUUUGGGGACGGGGGUCUCCGAACUGGAAUUAAGGUCAACGUGGCUCGAAGGAGACAAAGCACGUCAAAGGCUUCUCAAGGCCAGUGGUGCCACCUAAUGGGAAAAUUCCCAGGGAACGAGUUCCUCGGAAGUGAAAGCCCUUAUCUGGAGUGUUGCUAGGUGACGUCGAGAUGGAAAUCAGGAUCUCUGACGUAAGUCCCUCUUUUCUGCUGCUUUACGACCAUUCCUCCGUCAAUCCAGUCCCUUUUUCCCCAGCAUCCGAGCCACGCGCACGGGAUCGCCCUGGGAAUUUCGCGCUAUUUCCUGCUUUUAAAUCCAUUCUCAGCAAUGCCCUGAAGCUGCCAAAGGGAUUUUGUCCUUCUUGACGCUCAGUGUGGAGAGGAAAUUAUCCCAGAUUUUUGGAUUAUGAAGAGCCAGGCAGAAAACAACAGGGAAUGAAGGAGUGCCAUGGGAGAGACCAGGAAUC